rnacentral:rRNA from 1 species
UUGAUUACGUCCCUGCCCUUUGUACACACCGCGCGUCGCUACUACGGAUUGAAUGAUUUAGUGAGGUCUUCGGACUGAGCGCGGUGGCGUUUCGGCGUCGUCGAUGUUUCGGAAAGAUGACCAAACUUGAUCAUUUAGAGGAAGUAAAAGUCGUAACAAGGUUUCCGUAGGUGAACCUGCGGAA